UACGGGGGGGGCAAGCGUUGUUCGGAAUUACUGGGCGUAAAGGGCUCGUAGGUGGCCAACUAAGUCAGACGUGAAAUCCCUCGGCUUAACCGGGGAACUGCGUCUGAUACUGGAUGGCUUGAGUUCGGGAGAGGGAUGCGGAAUUCCAGGUGUAGCGGUGAAAUGCGUAGAUAUCUGGAGGAACACCGGUGGCGAAGGCGGUUCUCUGGGCCAGUACUGACGCUGAGGAGCGAAAGCGUGGGUAGCAAACAGG
rnacentral:rRNA from 1 species